rnacentral:rRNA from 1 species
UACGGAGGGGGCUAGCGUUAUUCGGAAUUACUGGGCGUAAAGCGCACGUAGGCGGAUUGGAAAGUUGGAGGUGAAAUCCCAGGGCUCAACCUUGGAACUGCCUUCAAAACUCCCAGUCUUGAGUUCGAGAGAGGUGAGUGGAAUUCCGAGUGUAGAGGUGAAAUUCGUAGAUAUUCGGAGGAACACCAGUGGCGAAGGCGGCUCACUGGCUCGAUACUGACGCUGAGGUGCGAAAGCGUGGGGAGCAAACAGG